CUCUGGGUGGCCAUUGGGAGCAAUGGGAAGUGGGGUGUUGCUGUGGGUGUCACUGGGGGUUGAGAAGUGGGGUGCUGUUCUUCAUGGCAGUCGGGAGGGUGAGAAGUAGGGUACCAUGCUGGGCGGCCAUUGGGAGGAAUGGGGUGCUGGUUCGCAUGGCUUUUGGCAGGGAUGGGAUCAGGGUGCUGCACUGGCGAUCAUGGGGAGCGGUGGGUUCAGGGUACUCUGGUGGGGGGCUCUGAGGAGGGUAAGAAGUGGGGCACAGAUGUGGGUGCUCAUGGGGAGGGGUGAGGUCAGGUCCUGCUCUGCCCGGCCAUCAGCAGGGGUGCCAUUGGGGUGCAGGUCUGUGUGGGGCAGGAUGGCUGUGGGCCCCACCUCUUCCCCCUCAGCUUGCUGGAGGGUGGGUGAGAAACCUUUCGUGGUUUCUCUUCCUUGUGGCCGUGCGAAGGUGGUCCAAGUCCAGACUUCUGCUGGGCAGCAGAGCAGGAGAGCUGCCCAAAUUCCAACCCAGAGAAUACAAAGGGCCCCAUGCAGUGCUGUGGCUCUGGGGAGAACGAGCUGUCCCGGAGUGGUGGGACGUGUCCAGGGGCCACGGCGGGCUGCAGCCCCUCACCUUGUGUCCCUCACAGCUGCCAUUCUCUGGGGCCUGCCCUAACCGCGGCCAGGGUGGGCGCCAAUGGCCAACGCUCACUAUGGGAGGAGCCCUUCCUGCUCCUCGCGUGGCUGUGCUAUUUGCACUGUGACCACCGCCCACCCCGGCGGUCCCACCAGGCCACCCAGAGGGCCCUGGGGACGCUGCCCCACGUGCACCCCGCUAGGAAGCCUCUAGAUCCUGGGCACCGUUUCCUCUGACGCGUUCCUUCCCCCCAUCCUCUCCUGGCCUUGCGAGUGUCUGCAGGGCACCGUGCAUGCACUUAAAGUGUGUUCCUGGGUGAGGCUGUGGUCACUGGAAGCCCUUCCCAAAGCGACCCCCACAAGGCCACGUUCCAGCCUCCGGGUUGGAGGGCUGCUUCUCACACGGGCAGCUGAGCCGGAGGUCCGCAUGGAGUUCCAGCAGAAGUCCCAGAGAGUGUCCCUACUGCCUUCCCUUCCGUUCCCACUGGGAACAGCAGCGCGUCCGGUGCCUCCAACAGCUCCAAGGAUGGCCUCCCUGACGCCCCCUGAGCGCAAGGAGUUGUGGCUCUGCCAGUGCCUUUGUGCCCUGCCCACAGGGGAGGGGGCUCGGGGGGUGGCACCUGCAGCCACGAGGACUCCAUCUCCUGGCCGAGCAGAGGUGGUGAGGAGGGGAGCUGCGGCCUGGCGUGCAGUGUGGCUGCAAUAUGGGUGGCACCGCGCGGGACAUCACCGGGCUGUCAGCUCAGCACGGGCACAUGGCUGUCCAAAGAGGUUCCAGGCACAGAUAAGACGUUCAGUUGGGAUUUGCGCCUCAGGGGACCAGCGGGGACAUUUAAGGGCAGCGUGCGCGGCCAUUAUUAGUGCUUUUGGCUGUCAGCUUCAGCGUGUCCUCACAGACUGCCUCAAUGGCACCAAGCUCAGUGAGGGCCGCUGGGCCCCGGUGCGGCCUGCAGCCCUGCUCCCCAUGGGGUGCUGCCCUGAAGGGAGGCAGGGCGAGCAGAUCCAGGUGCCCUCGGGGGCUGGGAGCUACAGAGCAGCCCUGCCUGGGGGUCACACAGCCGUGGGAGGGGUCAGGUUUGGGUGGGGGUCCACACUUCCCCCACUUCCCAUAUCCCAGAGCUGGGUGUCACAGGCCUUGUGGGACUCGAUGCAGUCAUUUCCCUCUAUUAUUGGAGCUUUUUUAUCAGUGAGUUACGAGUCCUUUGCCACCGGCAGUGGCCUGAGCGCUAUACGAUGUACAAAGAAAAGGCAGCUCUGGUGCCAAAGUGCUUAUUGUUCAAAAUGCAGAUUUUUUUUGUUUUUCUUUUUUUCCCUUCAAAGCAAACCAAUAGACGGAAAACCAGAUGAAAAAACAGUGGGAGCCCAGAGACGAGAGAGAAGGAUUUACUUUGUUAUUUAACCUGGGAUCUGCUGCGCUGUGCUCAGCAGCCUGCCCUAAGGAGCCUGCCUUGGGUGGGGUUGGGCUGGGGGAUCUGCAGAGCUUCCUUCCCACCCCUGAAAUCCUGUGAUUCCGUGGUUCUGUCUUCUCCAGGCACCCCUUGAAAUGGAGCCCUGGCAGAGAUCGUAGAUUGGUUUGAGUUGGACGGGACCCUGAAAAGCCAUCUGGUCCCACUCCCCUGCAAUGGGCAGGGUCACCCACAGCUCCUUCAGGAUGCUCAGAGCCUGGUCCAUUUCUGAGUGCUUCAUUGUUUUUAACGUGCCGCAGAAUUCUGUGUCGCCAACUCACGAGUGCAGAUGUUGUUGUGGACCGGCAGGAGCUAUUGGCAGUUGGGUCUUUUCCCACCUCCGAAGACAUGUGAAGCAAUUUGGAUCCAUGCGACGCUAGCUGAAUUGUGCUGUUAACAUGAUAAGUGGCGUUACAAGUGAGAGCAUUAGACAAAAAUUCACAUCUUUGGGAUCCUGAAUGUGUCUGUUAGCUGUAUGUCUCCAAAGAAAUUUUGUCACCCUGUCUGCAGGCUUUAAUAACACAACAGCAAAGUACUAGACUGUGUUUGGUUCAGGUUUGGGGCUACGGUUGCGUUCUUUUUCAUUGCUAUAAAAAUCCAGCAAAAUCUGGCCUUACCAUAAACCUGUGAGAAGUUGAGCGUGCACGUGUUCUGUAGAUACUCCCUAUGCAUUUGCAGAUAAACCCUUUGGAAACGCUACCAAGGUAUUUGAAACGCACAGGCCUAUCAAUGCUGUGAAGCGCAGUGUUGCCACAAGAACCGGUGCCAUGGCAGAAGUCGAGAGGAAGCUGCUCAUUCCGGCAUGCCCAGCCUGCACGCCAUGCCAUCCUUCAGUCUUGGAGCUGCAUGUCAACCAGGAUGACAAAAGCAGUGAUGGAACGGCAGCUUGCUUGGGGGGCUGUGCAGGGGACCAUGGGCCCUCUGGAGAAAAACAGCAAGCGAGGAGGUCGUUAAUGCUGGGGGAGCAGUCUGCAACUGCGGCCCUGGUGCUGUCCUUCCCAGUGCCAGCAGUGAGAGCCAAGGCAGGAGGGAGCUGUGCCUGUGAGUCCCGAUGGUGAGAGCUCUGCGUGAACCACCUUGGAGCCCGGACAGCUGUUAUGAUAGACCUCUAUUCUGAGCUGUUUGUCUGGUGAGUCACUUUUAAAGGAACAAGGCUGAAACCACAUUGCUGCUAAUGACUCCUUCCACGGGUGUGGCUUCCCUUUGCUUGAGUACGCUUGAAGUCAUGCGCAGUGAGAGGUGUUUUCAGGGACCGGCUUAUUUUUGGCACUGAAUUUAGAACAGGGCCAUGUUCUGCCCAGAAGUUCACACCUUGCAACUGGCUCCCACCCACCCUUCACUUAUUUACCAUUCCGUUUUGAAAAUGGACCGAGGACUACAGACCACACAUGCCUAUGAGAUGCUGCACUUCAUUCAUGAUGGUACUUCAGAUACUGAGUGUUGAACCCCCAGAACAGGAGAGCAAGUCAGUAAUUUGCACCAGGUCAACUUGAUUAUUUUCUGAUUAUUUUCGUCCCGCUAAUCCUGUCGAUUAAAGAGAGGUGAUCCAGAGCUGUCAGUAAUCUUUGGGGAUGAAGCACGGGUGGAGCAAAGUUGAGCUUAGUGAAAUCUACCGGAUAGACCAAAACAGCACCAAACUGUUUGGUUCUCACCCCCACUGACUCUCUCUUAAAAAAUACAUGUAGGAAGAUUGAGCAUAGAAAACAUUUAUCAUUUCAGCGCAACUUCUCCUAUAUCUCUUUGUGCCUCCUUGUUAAACAGUGCUUUGCUCUCUGGAAACAAGGCGAAAAACAAGGGGACAGAAUAAAGUUGGGGUACUUGAAUUUGUGACUUAAUUACGUCGUCAUUACCAGAGCGGCUUCCCUAGAUGUGUGCAGGACUGUGUGAUACAUCCUGAGGAACGCGUCCCAGUCCUGUGAGGUACCUGGUGAAAUCAUUUCAAGUAUCUACUGCCGACUUUGCUGGGAAUAAAGAUGCCUUGGGAGACUCACUGCACCCAGCCCAGCCACGGAAACAGCAAUUGUGCCUUCGCCUCUCUCUGUUCUCAAAUACAAGCAGUUUGUCACCAAAGUGGUGCUUGAAGUAACUUCACUAAUUUCAGUACGGUUUAACCGAGAGCAGGUUUCAUCUGCUGCCUCCGAAAUAUUAGUUUGUGGAUUCCCGUGGAAAGAUAAAACAGGAGGGAGAAAAAUAUUCUCCUUCACUUGUGUGAAUUCCUACUAAAACAUCAUUUACUUUCUUGUUCCCUAGUGGAAGAGCAUGCUUGAUUUCAAUUAAAAUGAAAUGUCAUCAUUUUGGGACGUGCUGCAUAGUUUUAACAAAUACGCCUUGUGUUCAUCCAUCAGGGAGAAGAUGUUGGAUUUGUAUAAAGGCCAACAGGUACAGAGGAUGCUUUGCAUUCAUGGUGAAAUUACCUGUGCAUGUAUCCUACCAGCACCCUGUUUAGCUGAACUCAGCCAGGGCAGAGGAUUUUCCCUCCUUUUCCACCCGUGUUAGUCGCAGGUGUUUAGAGCAGUCUUUGUUCCACCUCUCUGGUGAUGGAUUUCCUCAAUUCUGCAGCCUCAGGUCUGGGUCCCUGGGUCCCAGCAGCCUUUCCCAGUUGGAGAUACUGUGUCCUGCAAGCCCCCACUGUACUGGUUGGCAGCAGUGGUCACUGGUGAUGUUUUGCUCUGAACAAGGCUGUAUGGCCAGAUCUGGAUCCUCAGCUCCGCAAGAGGUGUCAACAGCAGCUGUGACGAACUGUUCUCAGCAGGUCCCCUACCAAAGCACAGCUGACUGGAGACCUGUCUUCUGGAUGGCAGUCAGAUGAGGUGAAUCCCUCACUGUCUACACUUCCCAUUACAUACUGUUGCAUCUAAUGUACUUUCUAUUGCUUUGGUCUUCAAUGAGCAGAACUUCCAGUGUGAUGCUCCCAUCAUUGCCACUACCUCCUUCAAUUUGUCACUGGAACGUUUUAUUAGCUUACUCCUCCCUUUACUGCAGAGAUCAUUGAUGAAAUAAGCAGUAAGAUCAUUUCCAGCACUAACUCUUGAUGUUGAAUUCACAGAAUCACAUACUGUCUGAGCCGGGAAGAGACCGCUGGGUCCUUCUGAUCCAACCCCCUCCCCAGGAUCGGACACCCAGAGCAGAGUGCCCAGGCCCCCGUCCAGCUGAGUUUUGAAGACGUCCAAGCAGGAAACCCCAACAUCUCUCUGGGAAACCAGUAACAGUGCUCUGGCACCAGCACAGUGAAGAAGUGCUUCAAGAAAUGUAGGAAGGAGAUCUUGGGUUCAGGUCCACGGCAGCACUAAGCCGUUGGUGAUGUGCCACGGCUACAUCUUCAGAGAGAUGGGAGAAGCGUCGCCAUUCGCACAGGAACAAAUAUGCUGACUCAGUAAUGGAAGAAUGCUAAAGAAAAUGUAUCCACUUGGAGAUCUUUUUUCUAUAUUCUUUCAUCCUAGAAUUUCAUGGAACGAGAAUAACAUAGUUACUUGUUUGUGUUGAAAUCAAACAUGCUUGUUCUUCACUUGCAAAAAUAGGAAACUUCUUUCAAAGUGACACUCUUCAUGAAAGAAUAGAAGUGUGCAGCUGCUGUAUGACUAAGUGAUUAAAAACCUGAUGGCUAAUUCAUUUUAGGUGAUAUGUUUGCACUCAAGGCCAAGUAUCAUAAAAAUAGCUGCUUAGCUUUUCUUUUUUAAUAUUAAGUAAAACACCAUAGAGUUUUCAGUAGGCUGGCAAGAUUUUCCAUAUCCAGUUUUGCCCAAUUGAAGUCAGGCUACCACAACUAGAAUUGUCUUCUCUCUAAUAUUCCCCUUUUACACAGCCUUCACCCACGUAGUUUUUACUAGACAAAUGGUUUUAAACUACCUGAGGCCAAGGGGAAAGUUCACAACAUUUUAUAAAUCUUGCCUGGAAAAUGCCAAGAUAGAUGGCAUUUUCUUGGCUCGUACACUGUGUGUAGGGAAGUAGAGAGAGUUUAGAGAGUUUAUGAGACUUAAUAGUCUGCUCACCAAAGCGGUAGUAUUUAACUCAUUGAGUGCUAUUUGAGGACUCGACAUGGCUAGAGAAGAAUGUCAUAUUGUUGUUAAUAUUAUUAUUUGUUAUUUUUGUUAUUGAGCUUAGAUGCGUAGAAGACAACCAGAGAUGCUUGAUUUUGGGUUCAGUGUGCUGAUGUACGUUGCUUGUCCUUAUAAUCUAAUUAAAAGAUGAUGUAAAAAAUACGUGGGAAUGAGAACAGAAAGAGGAUGAAGAAGAAAAUAAUUGAAGUAAUACAUGGUGGUUGGAUUAGUUAUUUGCACAAUUAGCUAUUUGAAUUAGCUACUUGACAAGUGAUAUAGAAGAAAGAAUAAAGGGCUAUCUCUGUCAAAGACAGUUUUUAGUGAAGCUGCUACUGUAAGUGUAUUAUGAUUUAAAUAUAAAGAGCUUCAGGUUUCAGUUAAAUGGAUUUUGAUUCUGCUUAUUUUUCUAAUGCUAGAUUUGUUUCAUUUCUGUAUUAAGCUCCUCUUAUUAAACCAUGCAGUGUCUGAUGGAAAUUUCAACCUUUGUUUCAAGUGCAAUGCAGUUUCCUGGGAGCAGACUAAGACAUAACCUAACGAUUUUUUUAAACACUUAUUUGUGCUCAACAAAGAGAUUGAACAUAAAAUCUCAGGAUUUAUUGAAAUACUCUGAGCCGGAGAAACAGGUAUACAAUUAUUUCUAGAUAUUGGAUUGCUUUUCAGCUGACAAACUCAUAACUUUGCUACUGCGUUCUUCUGACAUGCUCAACAGAGGUUUGAUUAUGUCUAUCCCCAUUUAGCUAGGUAGAGUGCCAUCUCCGCUGGGGGAAACAGAGAAAACAGCUACUUGAAAACAAGGAACUAUUAAUAUUUGAUCAAAAUUGAAUUGAUUGUAUGGGAUGAAUAUGAGGUAGGAAAUUGUAGUCGAAUUAAUUUUCACAGCAAAUUGGUCUCAAUUUUUUUGAGAAGGAACCAAAGUGAGUUAUGGACCCAACAGUCCAAUGCAGUCAGAUCCAGGAGACUGGAAUCUUCAAGUCCUUCACACGGCAAGCCACCAGUCUGGAAUGUCUUACCUGACUGAUUUUCCAGAACCACUUCCUUCAAGCUGAAGAGCCAUCUCAACAUGUGGAAAGGCAAGCCUUAGUGGCAGGAGACCUGCAUGGCUGGGCAAUGAAUGGACACAAACAUAAAAAGGAAGAGAGGAAAACGUGGAAGCAGGGCACCCACAUCGUGACUUAAGGUCAUCAAGGGCUGUGAGAUUUGUAUGGAAUACAACAAAAAUAUCAAAUAAAAUUGAGGAACUUAUCU
ensembl:lncRNA